CUUUAAUUCGUUUGGUGGCGGGGGAACUCCAUAAUCAUUCCGAAUUCUGGCAAUGUACUGUCCGAUGUCUGCUCCGUACCCUAUUGGAUUUUUUUAUUUUUUUUGGGGGGGGGAGGGUGAAUACUAGGGGGCUAAAAACUGUCUGAAUAAAUGGAAAUAUAGGGAUAAAGAGUUCAGUAAGAAUUAAGGGAAUGGGAAGUGCAUUAACGGCCCGCAAAAUAUAUUUCGAAAUAAUUUAUUCCCAUAACUCUCUCUUCCGCGUACGGUUGAAUUGAGAACAAAAAAGCUGAUGAAAAUGCGCAAGUAUUUUCAUUAGUGGGGAGAAAUUCACAUGCCGUAUCGGAAGAGGGGAAGGACAAAAGAACGGCUCCGAUGGGCC